GCUGGCGGCGUGCUUAAUACAUGCAAGUCGAACGCUCUCGACCUUCGGGUCACAUGAGAGAGUGGCGAACGGGUGCGUAACACGUGAGAAACCUGCCCCAAAGACGGGAAUAGCCCGAGGAAACUCGGAUUAAUACCCGAUACCUCCACAAUGCCGCAUGGCAAUGUGAAGAAAGUUCAGGCGCUUUGGGAGGGUCUCGCGGCCUAUCAGCUUGUUGGUGAGGUAACGGCUCACCAAGGCAUCGACGGGUAGCUGGUCUGAGAGGACGAUCAGCCACACUGGGACUGAGACACGGCCCAGACUCCUACGGGAGGCAGCAGUAGGGAAUCUUGCGCAAUGGGCGAAAGCCUGACGCAGCAACGCCGCGUGGGGGAUGAAUGCCUUCGGGUUGUAAACCCCUUUCAGCAGGGACGAAAAUGACGGUACCUGCAGAAGAAGCUCCGGCCAACUACGUGCCAGCAGCCGCGGUAAUACGUAGGGAGCAAGCGUUGUCCGGAAUUAUUGGGCGUAAAGAGCUCGUAGGCGGUUCAGUAAGUCGGGUGUGAAAACUCAAGGCUCAACCUUGAGACGCCACUCGAUACUGCUGUGACUUGAGUCCGGUAGAGGAGUGUGGAAUUCCUGGUGUAGCGGUGAAAUGCGCAGAUAUCAGGAGGAACACCAGCGGCGAAGGCGGCACUCUGGGCCGGUACUGACGCUGAGGAGCGAAAGCAUGGGGAGCAAACAGGAUUAGAUACCCUGGUAGUCCAUGCCGUAAACGUUGGGCACUAGGUAUGGGAUCAUAUCAACGGAUUCCGUGCCGUAGCUAACGCAUUAAGUGCCCCGCCU
rnacentral:rRNA from 1 species